rnacentral:rRNA from 1 species
UACAGAGGGUGCGAGCGUUGUCCGGAAUCACUGGGCGUAAAGGGCGCGUAGGUGGUGACCUAAGCGUGCGGUGAAAGCCCGAGGCUCAACCUCGGGUCGGCCGUGCGAACUGGGUCACUGGAGCAGAAUAGAGGCAGGUGGAAUUCCGGGUGUAGCGGUGGAAUGCGUAGAGAUCCGGAAGAACACCGGUGGCGAAGGCGGUUCUCUGGGCCUUACCUGACGCUGAGGAGCGAAAGCGUGGGGAGCGAACAGG